AACCUUCUGGGUUCUUAUUUUCCAGGAGAAAGGGCUCACUUCAUCCGGCCAGGCGGAACUUGGCGACACGUGAUCCCACACAAGACUACGCCAAGCUGAGUCUUACUGGGGAUCCGUGCUGGAGUGGACUGGAGCGGACUGGAGCGGAGGUCAGGAGCCUGUGCUGUCCCCUGAGGGUGCCUUGUUACCUUACCCUGCUCCAACGCACACAGCAUAACUUCUUUUCCUGGUCACUCUGAUCUCCAGGUUUCUGAGAUUCCAGAGUGAUAUGCCUUGAUGUCUCUUUCCUUAUGUUUCAUGUGUCUAAGCUUCAGUGAGCUUCUAAGAACUAAGGCUUGUCCAGGAGUACUGGUCAGCUAAGCUCCUCGGUGCCACCAAGAAUAGCUGUUCAAACAGUCAUCCUUCAGUCAUAGGAAAGCUUCGGUACGGAGAAAGGGUGUGCAUCUAUCCGUGGCUGGUGCAUCUCCAAAUGAUUUCAAUUUAUGAUGAUAUUUGAAUACAGAAAAAUAAACGAAAACACUAGCACAUUUGACAUUUGAAAUUAUGCUGAUUGGCUGGCAUAUUUUAAAACACAUCAAAUAAAGACAGGCAUCAAUGUUUGAC
rnacentral:lncRNA from 1 species